CGGAGGAUCCGAGCGUUAUCCGGAUUUAUUGGGUUUAAAGGGUGCGUAGGCGGCCUAUUAAGUCAGGGGUGAAAGACGGUAGCUUAACUAUCGCAGUGCCUUUGAUACUGAUAGGCUUGAAUGUACUUGAGGUAGGCGGAAUGUGACAAGUAGCGGUGAAAUGCAUAGAUAUGUCACAGAACACCAAUUGCGAAGGCAGCUUACUAAAGUAUGAUUGACGCUGAGGCACGAAAGCGUGGGGAUCAAACAGGAUUAGAUACCCUGGUAGUCCACGCCCUAAACGAUGAACACUCGAUGUUGGCGAUAUACGGUCAGCGUCUAAGCGAAAGCGUUAAGUGUUCCACCUGGGGAGUACGCCCGCAAGGGUG
rnacentral:rRNA from 1 species